AUUGAACGCUGGCGGAAUGCUUUACACAUGCAAGUCGAACGGCAGCACGGGGCAACCUGGUGGCGAGUGGCGAACGGGUGAGUAAUACAUCGGAACGUGCCCAAUCGUGGGGGAUAACGUAGCGAAAGUUACGCUAAUACCGCAUACGAUCUACGGAUGAAGGCGGGGGAUCGCAAGACCUCGCGCGAAUGGAGCGGCCGAUGUCAGAUUAGGUAGUUGGUGGGGUAAAGGCUCACCAAGCCAACGAUCUGUAGCUGGUCUGAGAGGACGACCAGCCACACUGGGACUGAGACACGGCCCAGACUCCUACGGGAGGCAGCAGUGGGGAAUUUUGGACAAGGGGGGCAACCCUGAUCCAGCCAUGCCGCGUGAGUGAAGAAGGCCUUCGGGUUGUAAAGCUCUUUCGGCCGGGAAGAAAUCGCAUCUCCUAAUACGGGGUGUGGAUGACGGUACCGGAAUAAGAAGCACCGGCUAACUACGUGCCAGCCGCCGCGGUAAAAC
rnacentral:rRNA from 1 species